CGUGCAGGCGGUUUUCUAAGUCGGACGUGAAAGCUCCUGGCCCAACUGGGAGAGGCCGUUCGAAACUAGGAGACUUGAGGAUGGUAGAGGCGAGUGGAAUUCCCGGUGUAGUGGUGAAAUGCGUAGAUAUCGGGAGGAACGCCAGUGGCGAAGGCGGCUCGCUGGGCCAUUCCUGACGCUGAGACGCGAAAGCUAGGGGAGAGAAC
rnacentral:rRNA from 1 species